GGCCGCAUUUUGUGAACAAAACAACAUGACAGAGUUAGAACUUCUUCAAAUUGAGUAUGGAGAAGAUUGGUGGAAACAACCAUUGCCACUACCACCGAUUACCUGGAAAUUUGAAUUGGGGAAAGAUCUGGUGGCCCCAGAACAAAUCCCGAAGCUACCCACAAGAAUGCGACAGUUGCAUUCUUGGUACAAGAUGUAAAAAAGUAAGCUGUUUGGGGCAAGUUAUCUUGAUGAAGAUCUUCAUAAGGGGGAAGGCAGAGUGUGGGUUGAUUUCGAGCACUUGUAUCAUUUCUACCAACAGGGUGCUCUCGACGUCUCAAUUAUGACCUUGUGGACUGUAAUGGAGUCACACAAAUGUAGACGAUGUGGGAUUAACAAUAUAGGCUUCUUGGACCCUAGCACCGUACAUGAGAACACAGUCAAUUUACCAAGUACCGUUGACUACUUGUACAAAGCUUUCCUCUCCAUGCAGGAUAAAAGAUCCAUACUUCUUUCAUACAAUUGCUUUUAUCAUCAUGUCCUACUCGAUAUCAGCCUUAACGAUAGUCGAAUCGAGGUUUAUGACUCA